UACUAGAGAAGGUCCCAGUGAGUAGCUGUA
rnacentral:piRNA from 1 species